rnacentral:rRNA from 1 species
UGCGUAGGCGGAUUAAUCAGUCAGUGGUGAAAUCUUUCGGCUCAACCGAGAAACUGCCAUUGAUACUGUUAAUCUUGAGUUCGGUUGAGGUAGGCGGAAUGUGUAAUGUAGCGGUGAAAUGCUUAGAUAUUACACAGAACACCAAUUGCGUAGGCAGCUUACUAGACCGAUACUGACGCUGAGGCACGAAAGCGUGGGUAGCGAACAGGAUUAGAUACCCUGGUAGUCC